GAGCCCCUCCCAACAGUCUUUUGCACGCCUGGCCCUGUCAGCACCGGCCCCGCCAGAGCAGCCUCUUCCUUGUUCCCCCAAAGAACAGGGGCGGCGGCCCCCCCCCCCCCCAGACUUCUCCAUUUCCCCAGGAUACUCCAAGCUCCUGUCUGAAUAAUUUGCUCCUGCCGCAUCCGGGCACCGGGCCUGCCCAGGCUCAGAGGCGGCAAUGCCAAAAUCCAUCCUCAUUCCAAAUGCCCCCCGAAAGGUCACCUCUCCAACCACCUGCCCCCUCCCCCCCGCCCGGAGGCUGAGGCGUGACCCUUAAGAGAGCGCAGAGCCCUGGGCUUCUAGCCCGGACCGAGUUCUGGGCACAGGGAGGACUGGAUUCCACUGCGUCUCCCUGAAGCUGUAGGACUCCCGCGACAGCCUGGAGCCAGGCUCUCUCAAGUCAUGUCAAGAGGCCAGUUUAAUCCGGGGCUCGAAGGUCCCUGUUACUGAUCAGAACAACUUGUCGGUGACCCUGAACAAGCUUCUUGACCUGCGUGCACCUCAGCUUCCCCAGGAAACAGAGAUGGCCACCAACCCUAAGGAUGCCGGAGCUGGAGGCGGGGUCCGGCCUCGUGCACUAUGGCUGUCUGGGUCAACAGCACAGCACACCCCCAGGCCUUGAACUCUGAACAGCGCCUCCACUGCUCCCUGAAGCCCCAGUGCCAGCCGCAGGGACCUGCAGCAGCUUCCCAGCGCCAUCCCCUCCAUCUCAGGCCACCUCUUGCCCUCUUCCCCUGCCUCUGAGCCCCUCGGCCGGUUCCUUCCUCCCCAUCCGGGGACAGGCUCAGGCUUCCAGGCACUUCCCCAUCAGAAACGCUCAGCUGCCCUUCACCCUUUGCUCCGGGAACCCAAACUCUCAAGGAACCCGCUCUCCCUCUCCUCCCCAUGGAAGCCACCGCGACCCAGCUCACUGUCCCUUGGUCCCCAGUGGGCACGGCUCCAGCCUCCUGUCUCUGGAGCCAGCCUCCUUCUCAUCCUGAAGAUCCUGCAGCCUGAUGAACUCUGAAACGCCUCAAGUCCCAGUUGCACAGAUUACCAGCCACGUGGCCCCCAAUUCCCCAAGCCGUCUGCACCGUGGUCUUUUCAUCCAAAGUCUGUUGAUAACCACACCUACACUUCGUAGGGCUGCUGGGGAGGACCAUGCUGUGAACCACAGGCUAGUUGUCGGGCCCAGGUCUCUCCGGGUGUGUGUGGGGGGUCUCUGCCUGUGUAAGCAAUCCGAGGAAGCGUGUUGGUUCAUACUGGUGGCUGACACAUCGCACGGUGGGAGUGACUGAUCGCCCUCCAGGAUGGCCAACCCAUCAACAGGGUCCCGGGGCUCCUGGAGACAACCGGCCAAUGCCGGGUGCAUGUAAAAGGGUCAGGAGAGGAGUGGGUCCAGGAUUGGGGUGCCCAGCCUGGAUGGCACUCUUGGCUCUGCUUCCGGCCCAGCCACCAGAGGCGAAGGAGAAGGCAGAGCAUGGACGGACCUUGAGCACGUGAGCUGUGAUUAUUUCCUGCUUCUUUCAGUUCCUUCUUCCCUUCAUCUCCCGGCCAACUUCCCUACACCCUCGCUCAGGCUGCGCGAUGGGGUUUGAGCCCCUGCCUUGACCUGCCGACUCUCAUUCUUCCCUCCCCGGGGCCUGUGCUGUCCUGUCGUGGUAGGAGCCAUCCACUCAGCGGGGCGGGGGGGGUGGGGGGGUGGGGGGGGGGGAGAAGUUCGGGGCAGAACCUGGCAGCAAGGUGGUCACUGUCCUCCGCAGGCUGUUUGUAAAGGAGAUGGGGUGGUCCUGGGGGCGCGGCCGUGAAGACGGUCGCCAGGCCACACAAGCCGCGGGACUCCCUCCCCAUCACCCUGCCGCCCCAGCCCAGUGCUUCUCAGUGGGGGUGGCGCUGGCCCCCAGGGGGACGUCUGGCAGCGUCUGGAGACAUUUCUGUCACAACCGAGGGGGUGCUACUGGCAUCGGGUGGGCGGAGGCUGGCGGGGCAACGCCUCAUCCUACAACCCAGAAUGAGCGGGCUCUGCGUGGGCCUCCGACCACUUGGGUUCCAGACACUCUGGGGAAGCGGACCAAGGCUCCAAGCCCUCUCCCCCGAGAAGAGUGCACAUGCGCACGUGCAGUUACGACACUUUACAACAGGAUCUCUGGAAGCGCUUGUAACCCCCCGCCCCGUGGUUGUCCGUCCAUCCAUCCCGGAGGAGAUUCCGGCUCUGCUGUGCUGCUGGUCUAGACGCCACAGUGAGGCACCCGCACUGGAGUCUGCCCUCCGCGCCCUCCUCGCCUUCCUCCUUUCAAACCAACAGGCUCAGGGGGAGUGAGACAGACAGGUGCUCUGUGAAAGAGAGGGAUCCGAGGUGUGAGGCCUCAGCUCUCGAACAGCGCCAGCCCUCGCAAGCAGGAUGCGCUCACCGGUGGGUAGCUGUCCCCAUGUCUCAGGCACAGUGGCAGGGAGGAGGUGACCACGAAGGUGACGGUGGUGUUCCCUAAGGCCCCAGAUCUGGAGCAUCAUCGCCCUGGUCCCACAGAGCUGGGCCUACCGAGAAGACACGGACGGACGAGGCUAUGGGGGCAGCUGGGCCCCACGUGACCGUGAUCGAGUCACUCUACUUGCCGGACCUGUUACCUCAUCUGAAGGAGAGGGGAGUCCUCGCACUCUUCACCAGCACCCUUCCAGCGGGGAUGGGGUUCUCGCCUCUGUCCUCCGCCAUCCUCGGGGCCAUCCUAUCGACCCUUCGCCCCUCCAAAGCUCCACAAACAUCCCCUCGACACAUAAAUCAAAAUGAAAAGCUACAAAGGACGCUGCUUAUAACAAGGUUUUAAUAAAAUAAAAAGUUCAAGUGCUUUCAA